rnacentral:rRNA from 1 species
ACGGAAGGCAGCAGUGGGGAAUAUUGGACAAUGGGGGAAACCCUGAUCCAGCGACGCCGCGUGAGUGAAGAAGUAUUUCGGUAUGUAAAGCUCUAUCAGCAAGGAAGAAAAUGACGGUACUUGACUAAGAAGCUCCGGCUAAAUACGUGCCAGCAGCCGCGGUAAUGCGUAUGGAGCAAGCGUUAUCCGGAUUUACUGGGUGUAAAGGGAGCGUAGACGGCAAAGCAAGUCCGAAGUGAAAUCCCGGGGCUCAACCCCGGAACUGCUUUGGAAACUGUUUAGCUAGAGUGCAGGAGAGGUAAGCGGAAUUCCUAGUGUAGCGGUGAAAUGCGUAGAUAUUAGGAGGAACACCAGUGGCGAAGGCGGCUUACUGGACUGUAACUGACGUUGAGGCUCGAAAGCGUGGGGAGCAAACAGGAUUAGAUACCCUGGUA